rnacentral:rRNA from 1 species
AUUGAACGCUGGCGGCAUGCUUUACACAUGCAAGUCGAACGGCAGCGCGGGCUUCGGCCUGGCGGCGAGUGGCGAACGGGUGAGUAAUGCAUCGGAACGUGCCCAGUAGUGGGGGAUAGCCCGGCGAAAGCCGGAUUAAUACCGCAUACGACCUGAGGGUGAAAGCGGGGGACCGAAAGGCCUCGCGCUAUUGGAGCGGCCGAUGUCGGAUUAGCUAGUUGGUGGGGUAAAGGCUUACCAAGGCGACGAUCCGUAGCUGGUCUGAGAGGACGACCAGCCACACUGGGACUGAGACACGGCCCAGACUCCUACGGGAGGCAGCAGUGGGGAAUUUUGGACAAUGGGGGCAACCCUGAUCCAGCCAUGCCGCGUGCGGGAAGAAGGCCUUCGGGUUGUAAAGCGCUUUUGUUCGGGAAGAAAUCCUGUGGGCUAAUACCCCGGGGGGAUGACGGUACCGGAAGAAUAAGCACCGGCUAACUACGUG